UACGGAGGGUGCAAGCGUUAAUCGGAAUUACUGGGCGUAAAGCGCGCGUAGGCGGUUUGAUCAGUCGGAUGUGAAAGCCCUGGGCUCAACCUGGGAACUGCAUUCGAUACUGUCAGACUAGAAUAUGGUAGAGGGUAGUGGAAUUCCUGGUGUAGCGGUGAAAUGCGUAGAUAUCAGGAGGAACAUCAGUGGCGAAGGCGGCUACCUGGACCAAUAUUGACGCUGAGGUGCGAAAGCGUGGGUAGCAAACAGGAUUAGAAACCCUAGUAGUCC
rnacentral:rRNA from 1 species